AGUACCGUGUUGUUCUGUUUGAUACCAGCACUGAAGCAUCUGGUACCACUCACUGUGACACAAGAAGUCAUCCCACAGAAGAGUAGGGAAAUGAAUAUGGAAAUAACUGUAUGAAAGGAAUUAUGGAACCUGUUUAUCUGCACUGUUCUGCCAAAUGAACAAUCAGAAAAUGGGAUUUUUUUUUCUCCCUGUGGCUUUUUCAGUUACAAGAAUUUAGAAAAGGUGAGAGAGGGAAAAGGACCAACUUCUGCCAUCUUCGUAGAGAAUUAGUUGAUCAACCAG